rnacentral:rRNA from 1 species
GGAUAACUACGGAAAAGCUGUAGCUAAUACUUGCUUUAGCACUCUUGAUUUAUUUCUUGAGUGUGUACUUGUUAAGCCUUAUAAGAAAAGAGUUAUUAACUUAAGGAAUUAUAACAAAGAAGUAACACGUAAUGGAUUAGUCCAUUUUUAGUGUGUAUCAAUCGAGUUUCUGACCUAUCAGCUUUUGAUGUUAGGGUAUUGGCCUAACAUGGCUAUGACGGGUAACGGGGAAUUAGAGUUCGAUUCCGGAGAGGGAGCCUGAGAAAUAGCUACCACAUCUAAGGAAGGCAGCAGGCGCGUAAAUUACCCAAUUCUAAAGAAGAGAGGUAGUGACAAGAAAUAACAAUACAAGGCCAAUCUGGCUUUGUAAUUGGAAUGAUGGGAAUUUAAAACCUUCCCAAAAUUCAAUUGGAGGGCAAGUCUGGUGCCAGCAGCCGCGGUAAUUCCAGCUCCAAUAGCGUAUAUUAAAAUUGUUGCAGUUAAAACGCUCGUAGUUGAAUUUCAAAGAAUCGAUAUUUUAAGUAACGCUUCUAGCUAUAAAUCCACAUAACUGAUGCCUCCGCGUAUCGACUUUGUGCGCAUUUUAGCUAUUAUGUGUUCUUUUAAUUAAAAUGAUUCUUUUUAAGAUUCAUCUAUUAAAAAUUUGCUUCGGCAUAAUUUUUUUUGAUGAUCUUGUUACUUUGAGUAAAUUAGAGUGUUCAAAGCAAACAGAUAUAGCAUUUGUGCGUUUGAAUACUACAGCAUGGAAUAACAAAAUUGAACAAGUCAGAAUUUUUUUGUUCUUUUUUCUUAUUUUGGCUUAGUUACGAUUAAUAGGAGUAGCUUGGGGGCAUUUGUAUUCAGAUGUCAGAGGUGAAAUUCUUAGAUUUUCUGGAGACAAACAACUGCGAAAGCAUUUGCCUAAAAUACUUCCAUUAAUCAAGAACGAAAGUUAAGGGAGUGAAGACGAUCAGAUACCGUCGUAAUCUUAACCAUAAACUAUGCCGACUAGGCUUUGGAUGAAAGAUUUUAAAAUAAGAGUUUUUCUUUUCUCUCCGGAGAUUAGAACUC